rnacentral:tRNA from 1 species
UAGGGGUUAGUUUAAUUAAGAAUAGUUGACUGUUAAUCAAAGGGUUUACUUCUAA